rnacentral:rRNA from 1 species
UACAGAGGGGGCAAGCGUUGUUCGGAAUUACUGGGCGUAAAGGGCGCGUAGGCGGCCUGCUAAGUCGAACGUGAAAUCCCCGGGCUCAACCCGGGAACUGCGUCCGAUACUGGCAGGCUUGAAUCCGGGAGAGGGAUGUGGAAUUCCAGGUGUAGCGGUGAAAUGCGUAGAUAUCUGGAGGAACACCGGUGGCGAAGGCGGCAUCCUGGACCGGUAUUGACGCUGAUGCGCGAAAAGCCAGGGGGAGCGAACAGG